rnacentral:misc_RNA from 1 species
UCUCCGUUGGUGAACCAGCGGAGGGAUCAUUACAGGACUCGCAAGACUCCUACAACCCUGUGAACUUAACUAUAAGCACGUUGCUUCGGCGGGUGUCUCGGAGGGGGUUCUCCCUCCCCGAGACGCUAAACCCGCCGGCAGCCUACUAUACUCUGUAUCUUUGCGUUGGCAUCUCGAGUACAAUCAAACAAGUUAAAACUUUCAACAACGGAUCUCUUGGUUCUG